rnacentral:rRNA from 1 species
AUUGAACGCUAGCGGGAUGCCUUACACAUGCAAGUCGAACGGCAGCACGGACUUCGGUCUGGUGGCGAGUGGCGAACGGGUGAGUAAUGUAUCGGAACGUGCCUAGUAGCGGGGGAUAACUACGCGAAAGCGUAGCUAAUACCGCAUACGCCCUACGGGGGAAAGCAGGGGAUCGCAAGACCUUGCACUAUUAGAGCGGCCGAUAUCGGAUUAGCUAGUUGGUGGGGUAACGGCUCACCAAGGCGACGAUCCGUAGCUGGUUUGAGAGGACGACCAGCCACACUGGGACUGAGACACGGCCCAGACUCCUACGGGAGGCAGCAGUGGGGAAUUUUGGACAAUGGGGGAAACCCUGAUCCAGCCAUCCCGCGUGUGCGAUGAAGGCCUUCGGGUUGUAAAGCACUUUUGGCAGGAAAGAAACGUCGCGGGUUAAUACCCCGCGGAACUGACGGUACCUGCAGAAUAAGCACCGGCUAACUACGUGCCAGCAGCCGCGGUAAUACGUAGGGUGCAAGCGUUAAUCGGAAUUACUGGGCGUAAAGCGUGCGCAGGCGGUUCGGAAAGAAAGAUGUGAAAUCCCAGAGCUUAACUUUGGAACUGCAUUUUUAACUACCGAGCUAGAGUGUGUCAGAGGGAGGUGGAAUUCCGCGUG